rnacentral:rRNA from 1 species
GACAGAGGAUGCAAGCGUUAUCCGGAAUGAUUGGGCGUAAAGCGUCUGUAGGUGGCUUUUUAAGUCCGCCGUCAAAUCCCAGGGCUCAACCCUGGAAAGCCGGUGGAUACUGUCGGGCUAGAGUCCGGAAGAGGCGAGUGGAAUUCCUGGUGUAGCGGUGGAAUGCGCAGAUAUCAGGAGGAACACCCGUGGCGAAGGCGGCUCUCUGGGACGGUACUGACGCUGAGACGCGAAAGCGUGGGGAGCGAACAGG